UGGGGAAUUUUGGACAAUGGGCGAAAGCCUGAUCCAGCAAUGCCGCGUGUGUGAAGAAGGCCUUCGGGUUGUAAAGCACUUUUGUCCGGAAAGAAACCCUUGGCUCUAAUACAGUCGGGGGAUGACGGUACCGGAAGAAUAAGCACCGGCUAACUACGUGCCAGCAGCCGCGGUAAUACGUAGGGUGCAAGCGUUAAUCGGAAUUACUGGGCGUAAAGCGUGCGCAGGCGGUUUGCUAAGACCGAUGUGAAAUCCCCGGGCUCAACCUGGGAACUGCAUUGGUGACUGGCAGGCUAGAGUAUGGCAGAGGGGGGUAGAAUUCCACGUGUAGCAGUGAAAUGCGUAGAGAUGUGGAGGAAUACCGAUGGCGAAGGCAGCCCCCUGGGCCAAUACUGACGCUCAUGCACGAAAGCGUGGGGAGCAAACAGGAUUAGAUACCCUGGUAGUCCACGCCCUAAAACGAUGUCAACUAGUUGUUGGGGAUUCAUUUCCUUAGUAACGUAGCUAACGCGUGAAGUUGACCGCCUGGGGAGUACGGUCGCAAGAUUAAAACUCAAAUGAAUUGACGGGGUCAUAGCUGUUUU
rnacentral:rRNA from 1 species